AUUGAACGCUGGCGGCAGGCCUAACACAUGCAAGUCGAGCGGAUGACGGGAGCUUGCUCCUUGAUUCAGCGGCGGACGGGUGAGUAAUGCCUAGGAAUCUGCCUGGUAGUGGGGGACAACGUUUCGAAAGGAACGCUAAUACCGCAUACGUCCUACGGGAGAAAGCAGGGGACCUACGGGCCUUGCGCUAUCAGAUGAGCCUGAGUCGGAUUAGCUAGGAGGUGAGGUAAUGGCUCACCUAGGCGACGAUCCGUAACUGGUCUGAGAGGAUGAUCAGUCACACUGGAACUGAGACACGGUCCAGAAUCCUACGGGAGGCAGCAGUGGGGAAUAUUGGACAAUGGGCGAAAGCCUGAUCCAGCCAUGCCGCGUGUGUGAAGAAGGUCUUCGGAUUGUAAAGCACUUUAAGUUGGGAGGAAGGGUUGUACGUUAAUACCGUGCAAUUUUGACGUUACCGACAGAAUAAGCACCGGCUAACUCUGUGCCAGCAGCCGCGGUAA
rnacentral:rRNA from 1 species